GCUCACAUCAACAGACACAUACCAAAAUUAGAAUGAUACAGAGAAGAUUAGCAUGGCCCCCAACAAGGAUCAAACACAACUUCGUGGAUAGGACUUUAGUUGC